AGAGAGGUGUCCGAGUGGUUGAAGGAGCCAGCCUGGAAAGUUGGUAUAUGGGUAACUGUAUCGAGGGUUCGAAUCCCUUCCUCUCUG
rnacentral:tRNA from 1 species